CGUAGUUGGGACAUUAGUAUUUCAAAAUUCGUAGAUCACUGCUCGUACUUCAUUAUGCCACAUUUGGCGUAGUCGGCAGGGUGGUCAUUGUUUGGGGUGAGUUGGAUGUGUUUUUUGUUUAAAGUAUGUUUUUAUGUAUGAAGCAAGGUGUGUUUUGUUGUUUUCCCAAAGGCAAAGCAGCAGUGUGGUCCGGUUGGAUGAGGCCCAGUGAUUUGGUUGUUACCACUUCAGGUGGUGAGUGGUUGCAGAAAUGGAGAGGGAGUUUAAACGGUAAGGUUAUGACGUUUGUGGGUAUGUUUGUUUCAGCUGGGGUCCCCCAGUGUUGGGGUGGAGCCAGCUGGGUAAGUUAAAGUCCAGGAGAAGCUCCUGAGGCAGAGGUAUGACUGAUUAUUUCAAUGUGUUUUAGUGAUUGAGUGGUGAGGAUAAGCUGAAGCUAGGGUAUUACUGAAGUGGUAUUUGCCUGGAGUUUCAGCUUAUGGUGGGGUAAAAUGCAUUAGUCGCACUCACCGUGUCAUUGUUCUGUCCGAUGGGGUCCCGCAGAAUGUGCGGUGGAACCAUUUGGCAGAUUUUAGAACAGUGUUUACCUGUGAUCUCAAUUUACAGCGGGGGAGGGUCACACUCCCCGCGUCAUCCUUUGGCCGAUGGGGUCCCGCAGAGUGUGCGGUGGAACCAUUUGGCAGAUUUUAGAGUAGUGUUUUUAGUGACUUCCACUCACAGCGGGGGAGGGUCACACUCCCCGCGUCAUCCUUUGGCCGAUGGGGUCCCGCAGAGUGUGCGGUGGAACCAUUUGGCAGAUUUUAGAGUAGUGUUUUUAGUGACUUCCACUCACAGCGGGGGAGGGUCACACUCCCCGCGUCAUCCUUUGGCCGAUGGGGUCCCGCAGAGUGUGCGGUGGAACCAUUUGGCAGAUUUUAAAGCGCAGACUUUUUUUUGCUUUAGCUUACUCGUCAUUGUAGUGAGUGCUGUAGGUUGACACUCUAGCUUCUAUAACCUUCUAGGUAAGUACGGGUUUUUGUAUAGACCUGGACAUUGAGGUUAAGGUGGCCAACAGUUUGUUAAUGUUUCUCACUCGCUAAGGGUAGCUGUUGGAGUUUAUAUGAGUGCAGUUUUUUCAGAUGUCAUGUCCAACCCCAGGAAGCUGCCCUUGAAUUAAUGCCCAAGUUUUGAAGAUUUAAUCGUCGGGGCGACGAUUUAUAAGGUGGGGGUGAAUGUAGUGAAGUGGCGUAUAGCCCAGGUGCUCAUUGGUUGGUUUCUUUUAAACGUGUGAACCAAUCAGGGCAUGUUUCCCAAGGCAUAAAAGGCCUAGUAAUGUAGCGCUUGAAGCGUCAUUUAUCACCCUCUCCAUUAAGCGCUCUUUUCAAAUGAGCGGCUUAUCUGAUGGCUUUUGAUGGCAGUGCGUUGCUACGUUUGUGGCAGUGUCGUGUGUGUUUGUAACCAUUUUUGGAUGAGUGAUACGCAGUGAAGACUUCGUUAUCUUUCCUGAUAUCAAAACAUGGCCGUGUCUAAGGGUCUUGGUAAUCCCAUGUUACGUGGAAUGUAAACCCCUUUGGAUGUGACUACAUUGCUGCUUUGCCUGAGUUUGUUUUAUUCCAUUUGUGUAUUUGUGUCCGUAAAGUGGCAACAGUAUUGACUCUUUGUCGGACUGCAUUCAUUUGGUGGUUUGGGCUGGGAAGUACCUACAACAACUACAUUGUCAUCUGAGUUCAGCCCUGCCUGUGACGUAUACCCAGAUGCAGGAAUUGUGGUCGCCUGUAUGAUGGAUCACCAAUGUUAUUUUCUUUUGUUAUUUUUGUAUGUGGUCUUAUGUUUAAUUGUGUAUUGAAGUUGUUCACAUCUACAAAGUGGAGAUUGCCUGAGUUUGUUUACACAAUUUGCUGUGUGGAAAUUUUGUGGUGUUUUCACGAGUGUAUUAUAUAUUAAGUGUGUGGUGACUCUCCAACCCCUGCAGGCGAUCUCCCCUUGUAGAUGUGAUUUUGUUUUUUUGUGUAAACUUCAACAAUAUCAUAUUUU